CUGGCUCAGGAUGAACGCUAGCGGCAGGCUUAACACAUGCAAGUCGAGGGGCAUCGGGAGUAGCAAUACUGCCGGCGACCGGCGCAAGGGUGCGUAACGCGUGAGCAACAUGCCCGUAUCAGGGGGAUAAUCCAUGGAAACGUGGUCUAAUACCCCAUAGUAAUUAUGUAAGGCAUCUUAUAUAAUUUAAAGCUUUGGUGGAUACGGAUUGGCUCGCGUGACAUUAGCUAGAUGGUAAGGUAACGGCUUACCAUGGCUACGAUGUCUAGGGGUUCUGAGAGGAAGGUCCCCCCACACUGGAACUGAGACACGGUCCAGACUCCUACGGGAGGCAGCAGUGAGGAAUAUUGGACAAUGGAUGGAAAUCUGAUCCAGCCAUGCCGCGUGCAGGAAAGACGGCCCUAUGGGUUGUAAACUGCUUUUGUAUGGGAGCAAUAAGGGCUACGUGUAGUCCGAUGAGAGUACCAUACGAAUAAGCACCGGCUAACUCCGUGCCAGCCGCAGC
rnacentral:rRNA from 1 species